UGAGGUAUCAGUGGAGACAGUACACUUGUGCUGUUGAGGCAGCGCUGGAGGAAGGAGAGCAGGAGCGACUGCAGCUCGGUGGUGUUGAUGUGUGGCAUGGCUGACCUCUGCUGGAUGCUCGGCAAACUGCAAACGAGAAAGUACACCCCACCUUACCUACAGCCACCACGCUGAGCUCCACCUCCUUCUCCACAGUGACGUGCUCAUCAUACUGCGGCAGGAAGAGGGUGCGGUGGAUGGUGCAGCGGUACGUCCCCGUGUCAUUGAAGACGACGUCAUUAAUGAGAUGCAGCCCAGCAGGAAUCCUUCUCCAGCCACGGCUUCAGUCAGGGAGUCCACCUCCGAACAGCCACCGUGGCACUGAGACACUAAAGAGGGAGGGGAGGAACAAGAAGACAAAGAGGCAGACGUAGAA